AGGUCUGAAGUGCCCAUCAAAAUGGAAGUGAACCCCCCCAAACAGGAGCACUUGCUGGCGUUGAAAGAAGUAACUGGAUUACUGCAGAAUGACCACAGAAGUAAUACUACAUUAUCGACCAUAUGAGAGUGAACCCACACAACUACCAAAAAUUGCAGAGAAAGCAAUUCAAGACUUUGCUGCUCGUCCACCAACAAGAUUUACUCCUUGGUUUCUACAUGAUGGGUCCAAACUUCCAGUCAAACCUAAAAGAUCACCACCUGUGAUUUCUGAAGAGGUAGCUGAAGAUGUGAAACAGUAUUUAACUAUUUCAGAACAUAGUGUUAAAUCACAGAGCUAUGAUUGUACAGUAGAUCUCUUGGAGUUUCAACCUAGUUUGAAAAAGCAGCACUUAAUCCAGUCACAUACAAUGAAUGAACAGAUAGCCUCUGGAAAUCUGGAUUAAAAAAUCAGAAAAUGGAAAACGGCACAAAAGGAGGUCAUGGAGUGUUUCACUUGUUGAUUCUAAUUGUACUGAAAAUAUUUUUCCUUUGUCUAAAAAAUUGCAAGAUAAUUUAAAGGCACUGAAUUUGCACUCACUUUAUAGAGCACGUUGGACAAUAGAACAUAGUAUUUGUAACAACCAAACUCUGGAAGACAUUUGGGCACAACUUAAUCAAAUUAUCAAGCACAAUGAACUUCCAUCUUGUAAUGCUACAAUUCAGAGACAUGUGGGCCAAAUAUGGGUUUUUUGUGAUAUUAUGUACUAUGAAUAUGUGGGAAACAUUCUUAAAGAAAGAUUAGCUCUUACUGGAAAAAUUAACUUACUUGUGCAUAAAUAUGGUAUUAUUUUUAGUAUGUAAUGAAUUCAGAUUGUCAAAA